rnacentral:lncRNA from 1 species
AUGGCCAAGCCGCCGAUCCGGCCCGCUUGCUGGAACUUUUCCACCGGCGGCGUGGUGCCAAGGACAAGACCUGACGGAUUUUUAUUUUAUUUUUUAUUUUAUUUAUUUUUAUUUUAUUCCCGCUCCAAAUCGCUAGCACGCCGUCGGAAUAGCGGCAGCGGUGCCCACCCGCAGAGCCGCUGCCCCCGCAGCGCCCCAGGCCCCGGGGCAGGGCAGCACCCGCCGCGCAGCCCCGCCGGGGCCACCGAGCCGGGACUCGGGGCUCCGCACCCGCGCAGGUGCCCCCCCCCCGCGGAGAUGCCCCCCACUCACUUGUGCCUUCUUCAUAAGGAACGGCAGCGCUGCAGUCCAGCCCAGCCAGCCGCGUGCAAACUCCUUUCAGCGGAACCGUGGCUCCAGCAUAAUGCAGCAGCCGAUAGUCCACGCAUUGGCGUUGCCCACGGCGAGCCCCGCUGCCUGCCGCGCCGCCCCUCUCCCCACGGCCCGAGCGCACGCACUGACUGGAGCCGCCGCCGGCCCCCGGCCAGGUCUUUUAUACCUCCGAUCUGCCUCCCGCAGCGGCGGCGGCGACGGCUGCAGCGGCGGCGGCAGCCCCGGCAGGACACGCCUUUCCCCUCCCUCCCUCCCGCCUCCCUCCGUCUCCUCCUAGAGCGCCCGGGAGCCGAGGCAGCUCCCGCAGGGAGGGGGAGGCCCGAGCAAACUUCAGGGACGCGAAAGGCGGCAGGGGGCCAAGCCCGCCGCGGGGCAGCGCCGCCGCGCCGCCCGCCCGCCGCGGCCGCCCCGCGCCGCCCCCUGACGGCGGGGCGGCGGCGCCUUGCCGCCCUGGGCGCGCGCGGCGGGGCGCGGCGGCGGCGGCGGCGGCCUCGGCGGCGGCGGCCUCGGCGACGGCCUCGGCGACGGCCUCGGCGGCGGCGGCUUCUUUCCCGCGCUGGGCGCGUGGGGCCGGCGACCCCAACGGCCCGCCGCGGCCGUUGGUGCUGCCGGGGCCGCGCUGCUGGGCUUUCCCGUGGCGGGGUGGUGGUGCCUUGUGGAGGCGCCUCGCCUGUCGGGUCACUCGAAGUCACUUUGGGUGCCGGCAUGGGACAAAUGGCCAGUACUUUAAGAGGGGCACCUAUUCUACAUAUAUGCGUGAAGCACCCAGUGGAAAGCUGCUAA